rnacentral:rRNA from 1 species
GAAACUUGGCUUGAGGACUACCGAGUGGCAGUUCAGAUCGGUGGUGGGAACGAUGAGGUGGCCAUGAAGCAUUUGCCCCUCAUGUUGGAAGGUUCUGCCAGGGCAUGGUUGACUCAAUUACCUCCUAACAGCAUUUACACUUGGGAAGAUCUGUCCCGAGUGUUCGUCAGAACGUUUGAAGGGACUUGCAAGCGACCAGCGGGAUUGACAGAGUUGCAAGUCUGCGUGCAGAAAACUAAUGAGACUCUCAGAGAGUAUAUUCAGAGGUGGAUCACUUUGCACCACACUGUUGAAAAUGUCUCUGAUCAUCAGGCAGUAUGCGCCUUCAAA